GGUAGCCGGCCUGAGAGGGUGACCGGCCACACUGGGACUGAGACACGGCCCAGACUCCUACGGGAGGCAGCAGUGGGGAAUAUUGCACAAUGGGCGCAAGCCUGAUGCAGCNACGCCGCGUGAGGGAUGAAGGCCUUCGGGUUGUAAACCUCUUUNAGCAGGGAAGAAGCGAAAGUGACGGUACCUGCAGAAAAAGCACCGGCUAACUACGUGCCAGCAGCCGCGGUAAUACGUAGGGUGCAAGCGUUGUCCGGAAUUAUUGGGCGUAAAGAGCUCGUAGGCGGUUUGUCGCGUCUGCUGUGAAAACCUGAGGCUCAACCUCNNACCUGCAGUGGGUACGGGCAANCURGAGUGCGGUAGGGGA
rnacentral:rRNA from 1 species